GCCAUCAAUUCGCUCUUACUGGAGCACCAACCCUAUCUGUUCUAGUCCAGUGUACUCACAAACCAUGUCUAGAGCAAGAUAUGAGUUGCUGCUGAGAUAUUUACAUUUUAAUGACAACACCCUCUGUCACCCCAGAGAUCAUCCCCAAUAUUAUAGGCUUCAUAAAAUAUGCCCACUGGUAGACCAUCUUCAGCACAAAUUUUCUGAAGUUAAUACUCCCCAACAAAAUGUAUCCAUUGAUGAAUCUCUAAUGAAAUAUAAAGGGAGAUUAGGAUUCAAACAAUACAUUCCUUCAAAGCGCUCUAGGUGUGGUGGAAAAUUGUACAAACUGUGUGAGAGCGAAAGUGGCUAUAUGUUUGCCUUUCGCGUAUAUGAGGGGAAAGAUGGUCAGCUGGACCCUCCUGGCUGUCCUGAAUCUCUGGGGACAAAUGGGGAAAUUGUUUGGGACCUACUGAUCUCCUUGUUAAAUAAAGGUUACCACCUUUAUGUGGACAAUUUUUAUAGCAGUGUCCGUUUGUUUAAAACUCUUUAUGGUUUGCAGACACUGGCCUGCGGCACUGUGAGAGAAUGCCAAUGAUUUCUCCAGACAUCUUAUAGAGGCCAAAUUAAAAAAAGGUGAAUGUAAAGCAUUGCGCUAAGUGCUUGCAAUAAAAUUUAAGGACAGGAAUGUUGUUAACAUGCUAACCACCAUCCAUGACGAAAGAAUGUCAGACGUCACUGUCCGAGGCAGAGUACAGAUCAAACCUGUUUGCAUCAGGGCUUAUAACAGGCACACAGGGGGCAGUGGCGUCAUCUUCCGGCGCCGGCAUCCCUAUGCGGCGAGCGAGGGAGCUGAAGAGGAAGCACUCAGGGGAGAGUGCUCCCUCGCGCGCCAGCCCGCCCGCCCAGCGGCACCACUGGACCCCAGGGAAUCCCCCCAGCACUCCAAAAGGUAAGGAGGCUGGGGGGAUUAAAUUUAAAAAAAAAUGUGUGUUAGUUUGUGUCAGUGAGUGUGUGUCUGCUAGUGAGUGUGUUUGAUGUCUGUUAGUGAGUGUUUGUUUGUCAGUGAAAGUGUAUGUUUUGUAAGUGAGUGUGUAUGUAUGUCAGUAAAUGUGUGUGUCUGUUAGCUAGUGUGUAUGCGUCUGUUCGUG